AAUCAACGCUGGCGGCGUGCCUCAGACAUGCAAGUCGAACGAUUAAACUCGCCUUCGGGUGAGAUAUAAAGUGGCGCACGGGUGAGUAACACGUAAGUAAUCUACCUUCGAGUGGGGAAGAACGUCCGGAAACGGACGCUAAUACCGCAAAAGGCAGCGGCACCUAAUGGUGACAGUUGUUAAAGAUUUAUCGCUUGAAGGUGAGCUUGCGGCAGAUUAGCUAGUUGGUAAGGUAAUGGCUUACCAAGGCUACGAUCUGUAACCGGUCUAAGAGGACGGUCGGUCACACUGACACUGAAUAACGGGUCAGACUCCUACGGGAGGCAGCAGUCGGGAAUUUUGGGCAAUGGGCGAAAGCCUGACCCAGCAACGCCGCGUGAAGGAUGAAGUAUCUCGGUAUGUAAACUUCGAAAGAAUGGGAAGAAUCAAUGACGGUACCAUUUAUAAGCUCCGGCUAACUACGUGCCAGCAGCCGCCGUAAAAC
rnacentral:rRNA from 1 species